rnacentral:tRNA from 1 species
GUUUUAAUAAUUUAAUUAAAAAUAUUAGUUUUGUAAACUAAAUUUAGGUUUCCUUUAAAACA